rnacentral:rRNA from 1 species
UACAGAGGCCUCAAGCGUUGUUCGGAAUCACUGGGCGUAAAGGGCGCGUAGGCGGCUUUGUAAGUCACUUGUGAAAUCUCUGAGCUUAACUCAGAACGGCCAAGUGAUACUGCAAUGCUAGAGUGCAGAAGGGGCAAUCGGAAUUCUUGGUGUAGCGGUGAAAUGCGUAGAUAUCAAGAGGAACACCUGAGGUGAAGACGGAUUGCUGGGCUGACACUGACGCUGAGGCGCGAAAGCCAGGGGAGCAAACGGG